CACCCGCCCUCCGCCAUGGACUGCUGCAAUGAGGGAGCCUGCACAAAGCUGGACGAGGACAUCCUGGACAUCCCUUUGGACGAUCCCGAUGCCAACGCGGCGGCCGCCAAGAUCCAGGCUAGUUUCCGUGGCCAUAUGACCCGCAAGAAGAUCAAAGGGGGGGAAAUCGACCGGAAAACCAAGGACGCCGAGUGCGCCAACAGCACCCGCGGCGGCGACCUCCGCAACGGAGACUAGGGGCCACCAGCCGCUCCCCGGACCCCCCUCGCCACCGGCCCCCCCCGCCGCCGCCCGCCGAGGCCCAGGAGCCCCCGCUUUGCCCCAUCGCCCCCCGCAUGCGACCCCCGGAGCCCCGCAGCAGCCAGGCCCUGCCCCCACCCCCGGCUGCCCCGCCCCGCCCCGGAGACCCCCCAUCCCAAUAAACGCCCCUGCCAGAGCCCCGGGCUGUCCUUGGUGCCGUUCCAUGUCCCCGGCGGAGGGUGAGGUCACCGCGGGGCACAGCGGGGAGGGGCACGGGGCGGGUGGUGCCCAGCACUGAUGUCACACGCGCGUGUGGGACAUCGUGCGGGCACGUGUGACAUCACUGCCAGCCGUGUGACGGCGGGAGUGACAUCACGCACUUGCACAGGGCGUGGUGUGACGUCGCUGGUGGGUGGGAGAACACUCGUGGGGUGCUCCCGCCCCGAGGUGGGUGGUGACGUCACUGCUGGACGUGUGACAGCUGCUGUGACACCACAGAGGUCUGUGUGAUGUCACUGUGGGAUGUGUGACACCAUAGAAGGGUCUCUGAUGUCACUGCUGGAUGUGUGACACCACAGAGGUCUCUGAUGUCACUGCUGGAUGUGUGACACCACAGAGGUGUGUGUGAUGCCACUGUGGGAUGUGUGACACCAUACAAGGGUGUGUGAUGUCACUGCUGGAUGUGUGACACCAUAGAGGUGUAUGUGAUGUCACUGUGGGAUGUGUGACAAAAUCCAGGGGUGUGUGACAUCACUGCUGGAUGUGUGACACCAUAGAAAUGUGUGUGAUGUCACUGUGGGAUGUGUGACACCAUAGAAAUGUGUGUGAUGUCACUGUGGGAUGUGUGACACCGUACAGGCAUGUGUCAUGUCACCACUGGCUGUCUGAUGCUGGGUGUGACAUCAUGCAGGCCUGCACGACAUCACUCAUGGACGUGUGACAUGCCUGUAUGGCAUCAAACAGGCAGGAGUUGGAAGCUGUGAUGUCACACACUCGUGGUGACAUCGUGGUGACAGGUCACAGGGUGUGAAACACACGUGCACCACAGUGUCACCUCAUCCCAAGAACCUUGGCUGGUGCUGUGACGUCACCCCGCCCUGUGACCUCACCCAGAAGGCUGUGGGACCCCCCCAACCCCGAAAUCCCCACAAACUCACCUAAAGCGCCGGUGCUGGGCAGCACAGCAGCUUUUAAUCAGAAAACUCCUAAAAAAAGUGCGUCCCCUGCCCGCCCAUUGCCUCCCGCCCCCCACUUUUAAUGGUCUUUUAUGAAAAAUCCUCCUUUCCACUGAUAUAUAGAUAUAUAAAAAAAAUAAGAAGCCCCACACCCCCCUCGCCGGGGCAGGACCGGGGCUGGUUUGGGGGGUGAUAUUUACGGGGAGACUCAGCCCCCCCAAACCCAGGGGGCCCCUGCACCCAUUAAACAUCCCCACGACGAGUCCA